UUAAAAUGAGAAUUAAUUAUUCAAAAUACAGAUUCUUAUGAAAUAAAUGACUACUAAAUUAAAAAUAAUAAUAUAUUCUUUUUUUUUUCCCUAAACCGGGACUUGAGCCUAAUUCGGUGUUUCCUGCUCCUCUAUAUAACCCCGUCAAGUCCAAUUUUAAGAGCAACCCAAGUAAGAGUAGGAAAUUUAUAUUUCCACCGGAACAGAGCUAGAUUGUUGGCCAUGGAAGCCGAAAAGAAGGAGAAUGCAGCAGCAGAAAAAGGCAAGAGCACAAGCAAUGUGAAAGAGCAAGAUGAAGCAGCUUUCAAGAAAUGUAUGGAGGAAAACAAAGGAGAUAGUUCCAAAUGCAGGCCAAAGAUUGAAGCUUUCGAGUCUUCUUUGCCUUUCAAGCCGCUCUUUCCGUUGAUGUUGAAGAGUGGAUCAUUGACUGAUGUCUGAUUUUAGAUUUCGGGAAAUUGUUGAUUCAAUGAUGAACUCUUGUGUGAUCGAGUUGAUCCAACUUUGCUUAUUUAUGUAAUACAGUAGUAAAUUUCUUUGAAAAGUUCUCAAUGUGACUUUGGUUAUCUA